rnacentral:rRNA from 1 species
CUUUUCACUCCUACGGGAGGCAGCAGUGGGGAAUAUUGCACAAUGGGCGCAAGCCUGAUGCAGCCAUGCCGCGUGUAUGAAGAAGGCCUUCGGGUUGUAAAGUACUUUCAGCAGUGAGGAAGGCAGGUACGUUAAUAGCGUGCUUGUUUGACGUUAGCUGCAGAAGAAGCACCGGCUAACUCCGUGCCAGCAGCCGCGGUAAUACGGAGGGUGCGAGCGUUAAUCGGAAUUACUGGGCGUAAAGCGCAUGCAGGUGGUUUGUUAAGUCAGAUGUGAAAAGCCCGGGGCUCAACCUCGGAAUUGCAUUUGAAACUGGCAGACUAGAGUACUGUAGAGGGGGUAGAAUUUCAGGUGUAGCGGUGAAAAUGCGUAGAGAUCUGAAGGAAUACCGGUGGCGAAGGCGGCCCCCUGGACAGAUACUGACACUCAGAUGCGAAAGCGUGGGGAGCAAACAGGAUUAGAUACCCUGGUAG